GGAAGGGCAUCCGGCGUAAAACCUGUGCCCAUUCAACAUGCAGAUCCGACCCCAAGUGCAAACAAGGGAGCAGCCGAAGGGACUUACUUUUUUGUAUGCAAAAGAUAAUUUCCAAAGUGGGCAAAUUCUUUAUAAACAAUUAUAGCAUGGACACAUAGUCAAAAGAAAGUUGUAUUCAUUUAUUUUUAGUUUUUCACAUAUAAAAUGUAAUAAUUUAAAAUGCAGUUUCAAACUGAAACACAAGGCAUGGCAAAUCAAUGACAGUGUUGCUCUUGAAUAUUAAAAAAAAAUCAAGUCAUGAG